AUGAAUGACAACGAAGGGCUUGGAGGAAUUCUGCGCCUCUGUCCUAUUGGAACGCAAUUGACUCCCAAGGACAGAUCUUUGCAGCCUCGGACCAUUUCUGCUCCUCACCAUCUGGGGGCACUGCCAGGCUCUCCCGAGAGUCUGAAAUGUCUCAAAGUCGGGCUGCUGCGACUCCUCUCGGCGCUGGAGAAGGACGCCGGCGGAGGGGAGGUGCAGUGCGGUCCUCCCGCCGGAAGAGGGCGCCGCGGCGAGGCGGCCCUAGGCGCAGGCGCCGGCGUGCCCCUCUCCCGGCCGCACGCGCUCCUUGACCCCGCGCCGCCGCGCGCCCUGCGGACUCGGCGUAGGGGUUGGCGCCGGUUCGGGUCCGGCCGUCGCGGGCUUACGCCGAGUGCGCCCUGCCCGCCCUCUCCGCGGCGCCCCGGCCCCCGUGCGCCGCCGCGGCCCAUGGGGAGAGUCGGCCGGGCAGGCCGGGCAGUGGGCAUUCGUUUCCCUGUUGGAUAUGCUGUCUAGGAAAUUCUUUGUUCGCACUAUCAGCCGAGCUGGUGAGUUGUCACAGAAGCCUUACCCAGGAGAACGUGCUAGCAUUCCUCCAUUUUUGGGUGAUUCAUUAGAGCAAGUCAGGCACCGGUACCCUGGGCUCUGCUUUUAUUCUCCCUGCUUCUGUACUACCUUGGGGGCCUUUCAUUCAGAAAUCAAACCUGAGAACUUUUAUGGAAGCUGAGGGCUCGAAUAUUAAGGACUAGAAGAAACUGAACAGCAGCAUCAGUUGAGUGGGCACUGACUUCCAGGCUGAGAGCAGCUCCUCUGGGGGAAUCCUGUCGGUCCCCACCACAUGCAGAGUGGAACCGAGGACAGCCAGCAGCUUGCGGUGGCAGGGUCGUAGAGUCCCAGCCAUAGAAGCGAGGAGACGAAAGCAUAGACCGGAGAGAUUUUGCCCUGAGUCAGACAUAACCGGGGGGAAAAUUAAAUAGUUUCCUUCUCGUCUGUAUUGCCUUCCCUUCCUGAGAGACAGACACAGGCGAAACAGGGAUUUGUUUAACAUGGUUUCUAUGGCAAAAUGCUGUCUGGACCUGGGAACUGACAGAUUUUUGGAAUGUGCCCAUAAAUCCAGAAAAUACCUGUGCUAUUUAUUUGCAGUUUGGGGAUUUCAGUCAAUUUUUUUUUCUCUUCCCUUUGUGAGAAAGAGAUUGAUUUCUUAUUUUGAGAAGUGGGCUGUGUUGUGGUUUCACCCAGAACAUUGAGGUUGUAUUUAAAUUUAAAGGUGGCCGUAGGGAUUUAGUGGCAAGGGCUGUGUUCACAUGACUAGGUUUGGAGUGGGUCUUCUCACCUUGACCUUGGGCGGAUUUAUCUCCCAAAGUCCCAGGUCUGUACCAGGUUAGGCUUGAACAGCAGAUAACUGCAUUUAAUACCACCCUGGCUUGGUAAGACUUAAUAUGUGCGAAAUGCUGCUUGUUUUUGUUGUUAUUUUGCAUUCCUCCAUUCUGCAAGGAUAUUAUGUAUUGAUCAUUUA
rnacentral:lncRNA from 1 species